rnacentral:rRNA from 1 species
UACGAAGGGGGCUAGCGUUGCUCGGAAUUACUGGGCGUAAAGCGCACGUAGGCGGUUUUUUAAGUCAGGGGUGAAAUCCUGGAGCUCAACUCCAGAACUGCCUUUGAUACUGGGAGACUUGAGUCCGGGAGAGGUGAGUGGAACUGCGAGUGUAGAGGUGAAAUGCGUAGAUAUUCGCAAGAACACCAGUGGCGAAGGCGGCUCACUGGCCCGGUACUGACGCUGAGGUGCGAAAGCGUGGGGAGCAAACGGG